rnacentral:rRNA from 1 species
UACGGAGGAUGCAAGCGUUAUCCGGAAUGAUUGGGCGUAAAGCGUCCGCAGGUGGCUGUGUAAGUCUGCUGUUAAAGAGUCUAGCUCAACUAGAUAAGAGCAGUGGAAACUACACGGCUAGAGUACGUUCGGGGCAGAGGGAAUUCCUGGUGUAGCGGUGAAAUGCGUAGAGAUCGGGAAGAACAUCGGUGGCGAAAGCGCUCUACUGGACCGCAACUGACACUCAGGGACGAAAGCUAGGGGAGCGAAUGGG